rnacentral:rRNA from 1 species
UACGGAGGGUGCAAGCGUUGCUCGGAAUUAUUGGGCGUAAAGGGUAGGUAGGUGGUCUCGUUUGUCAGGGGUGAAAGCCUUGGGCUUAACUCAAGAAGUGCCCCUGAAACGGCGAGACUCGAGUGCUGGAGAGGGUCGUGGAAUUCCCGGUGUAGCGGUGAAAUGCGUAGAGAUCGGGAGGAACACCAGAGGCGAAGGCGGCGACCUGGACAGCUACUGACGCUCAUGCACGAAAGCGUGGGGAGCAAACAGG